rnacentral:ncRNA from 1 species
CCAGCCUGCUAGAGGUGCCGCCCAGAAAUUAUUCCAGGUGGCUGAGAAAUACUCUUCGAACCUGAUCUGGGUCAUGCCAGCGUAGGGAAGCCUGAUACCCAUCGG